UCCGGGAUCAAACCAGGCAGGGCGAUCUUCCUUUAUCCCCUGACCAGCUUCAUUACAGGACAAACCAGAGGGGAUUGAGCAUCUUAGAAUCGGAGCCAGAGGUACGAGGAACAAGUAGCUGGACGGAGCAGAGGAGCGGAGGAGAGGAACCGUGGCACUCCGAACACCACCCUCACCUGGUCAGAGAGAUAAAAUGUCUGCAGAGAAGUCUGCAAACAUUCGGAUCUACUGCACAGUGGUGUGAAGAAGGGAGGAUGUGGAGGUGGUAUGGAAGAGAGCAGCAUGGUUCAAAGACUGUUACACAGAGCUAACGAGUUAAGUGAGGAUGAGACCCAGAUAUCUCACUACAGGAGAAGUCCCAGACUAAUGAGCAAAGGAAGUAAUGCAACAAGAAUGGAACAAAAAAACUGAAACAUACUCACAAGAUCUCCAUAACGGGCAGAUGAAAUUACACGUGAAGGAAAAUUCCCUGUGCUGCUGAAACAUAAUCCCCCUGUCUUC